GGCAGUGUGGUAUAGUGGUUUGAACACUGGGUUAUGACUCCAGAGAUCCAAGUUCAAACCUUUGCUUCGUCA
rnacentral:tRNA from 1 species